rnacentral:tRNA from 1 species
GAAAAGUUAACUAAUUAGUAAGCAAAUGGUAUUCUAAACCAAAAAUAUAAGUGCAAUCCUUCUACUUUUCG